rnacentral:rRNA from 1 species
GACGAACGCUGGCGGCGUGCCUAAUACAUGCAAGUCGAGCGGACGAAUCGAAAGCUUGCUUUUGAUUCGUUAGCGGCGGACGGGUGAGUAACACGUGGGCAACCUGCCCUGUAGACGGGGAUAACACCGAGAAAUCGGUGCUAAUACCGGAUAACACGAAAUGUCGCAUGACGUUUCGUUGAAAGACGGCGCAAGCUGUCGCUACAGGAUGGGCCCGCGGCGCAUUAGCUAGUUGGUGAGGUAACGGCUCACCAAGGCGACGAUGCGUAGCCGACCUGAGAGGGUGAUCGGCCACACUGGGACUGAGACACGGCCCAGACUCCUACGGGAGGCAGCAGUAGGGAAUCUUCCGCAAUGGACGAAAGUCUGACGGUGCAACGCCGCGUGAGCGAAGAAGGCCUUCGGGUCGUAAAGCUCUGUUGUUAGGGAAGAACAAGUAACGCAGUAACUGGCGUUACCGUGACGGUACCUAACGAGAAAGCCACGGCUAACUACGUG